UUAAGUUAUUAAGGGCGCACGGUGGAUGCCUUGGCACUAGAAGCCGAUGAAGGACGUUACUAACGACGAUAUGCUUUGGGGAGCUGUAAGUAAGCUUUGAUCCAGAGAUUUCCGAAUGGGGAAACCCAGCAUGAGUUAUGUCAUGUUAUCGAUAUGUGAAUACAUAGCAUAUCAGAAGGCACACCCGGAGAACUGAAACAUCUUAGUACCCGGAGGAAGAGAAAGAAAAUUCGAUUCCCUUAGUAGCGGCGAGCGAAACGGGAAGAGCCCAAACCAACAAGCUAGCUUGUUGGGGUUGUAGGACACUCUAUACGGAGUUACAAAGGACGACAUUAGACGAAUCAUCUGGAAAGAUGAAUCAAAGAAGGUAAUAAUCCUGUAGUCGAAAAUGUUGUCUCUCUUGAGUGGAUCCUGAGUACGACGGAGCACGUGAAAUUCCGUCGGAAUCUGGGAGGACCAUCUCCUAAGGCUAAAUACUCUCUAGUGACCGAUAGUGAACCAGUACCGUGAGGGAAAGGAGAAAAGCACCCCGGAAGGGGAGUGAAAUAGAACCUGAAACCGUGUGCUUACAAGUAGUCAGAGCCCGUUAAUGGGUGAUGGCGUGCCUUUUGUAGAAUGAACCGGCGAGUUACGAUUUGAUGCAAGGUUAAGCAGUAAAUGUGGAGCCGUAGCGAAAGCGAGUCUGAAUAGGGCGUUUAGUAUUUGGUCGUAGACCCGAAACCAGGUGAUCUACCCUUGGUCAGGUUGAAGUUCAGAUACCACUGAAUGGAGGACCGAACCGACUUACGUUGAAAAGUGGGGGGAUGAACUGAGGGUAGCGGAGAAAUUCCAAUCGAACCUGGAGAUAGCUGGUUCUCUCCGAAAUAGCUUUAGGGCUAGCCUCAAGUGAUGAUUAUUGGAGGUAGAGCACUGUUUGGACGAGGGGCCCCUCUCGGGUUACCGAAUUCAGACAAACUCCGAAUGCCAAUUAAUUUAACUUGGGAGUCAGAACAUGGGUGAUAAGGUCCGUGUUCGAAAGGGAAACAGCCCAGACCACCAGCUAAGGUCCCAAAAUAUAUGUUAAGUGGAAAAGGAUGUGGCGGUGCCCAGACAACUAGGAUGUUGGCUUAGAAGCAGCCAUCAUUUAAAGAGUGCGUAAUAGCUCACUAGUCGAGUGACACUGCGCCGAAAGUGUACCGGGGCUAAACAUAUUACCGAAGCUGUGGAUUGUCCUUUGGACAAUGGUAGGAGAGCGUUCUAAGGGCGGUGAAGCAUGAUCGUAAGGACAUGUGGAGCGCUUAGAAGUGAGAAUGCCGGUGUGAGUAGCGAAAGACGGGUGAGAAUCCCGUCCACCGAUUGACUAAGGUUUCCAGAGGAAGGCUCGUCCGCUCUGGGUUAGUCGGGUCCUAAGCUGAGGCCGACAGGCGUAGGCGAUGGAUAACAGGUUGAUAUUCCUGUACCACCUAUAAUCGUUUUAAUCGAUGGGGGGACGCAGUAGGAUAGGCGAAGCGUGCGAUUGGAUUGCACGUCUAAGCAGUAAGGCUGAGUAUUAGGUAAAUCCGGUACUCGUUAAGGCUGAGCUGUGAUGGGGAGAAGACAUUGUGUCUUCGAGUCGUUGAGUUCACACUGCCGAGAAAAGCCUCUAGAUAGAAAAUGGGUGCCCGUACCGCAAACCGACACAGGUAGUCAAGAUGAGAAUUCUAAGGUGAGCGAGCGAACUCUCGUUAAGGAACUCGGCAAAAUGACCCCGUAACUUCGGGAGAAGGGGUGCUCUUUAGGGUUAACGCCCAGAAGAGCCGCAGUGAAUAGGCCCAAGCGACUGUUUAUCAAAAACACAGGUCUCUGCUAAACCGUAAGGUGAUGUAUAGGGGCUGACGCCUGCCCGGUGCUGGAAGGUUAAGAGGAGUGGUUAGCUUCUGCGAAGCUACGAAUCGAAGCCCCAGUAAACGGCGGCCGGAACUAUAACGGUCCUAAGGUAGCGAAAUUCCUUGUCGGGUAAGUUCCGACCCGCACGAAAGGCGUAACGAUUUGGGCACUGUCUCAACGAGAGACUCGGUGAAAUCAUAGUACCUGUGAAGAUGCAGGUUACCCGCGACAGGACGGAAAGACCCCGUGGAGCUUUACUGUAGCCUGAUAUUGAAAUUCGGCACAGCUUGUACAGGAUAGGUAGGAGCCUUUGAAACGUGAGCGCUAGCUUACGUGGAGGCGCUGGUGGGAUACUACCCUAGCUGUGUUGGCUUUCUAACCCGCACCACUUAUCGUGGUGGGAGACAGUGUCAGGCGGGCAGUUUGACUGGGGCGGUCGCCUCCUAAAAGGUAACGGAGGCGCUCAAAGGUUCCCUCAGAAUGGUUGGAAAUCAUUCAUAGAGUGUAAAGGCAUAAGGGAGCUUGACUGCGAGACCUACAAGUCGAGCAGGGUCGAAAGACGGACUUAGUGAUCCGGUGGGUCCGCAUGGAAGGGC
rnacentral:rRNA from 1 species